AACAUAAUGUAGCCAAGGACUGUGACAAGCCAGUACAAAUACAGAGUCAUGUU
rnacentral:ribozyme from 2 species